GUGGGGAAUAUUGCACAAUGGGCGAAAGCCUGAUGCAGCGACGCCGCGUGAGUGAAGAAGUAUCUCGGUAUGUAAAGCUCUAUCAGCAGGGAAGAAAAUGACGGUACCUGACUAAGAAGCCCCGGCUAACUACGUGCCAGCAGCCGCGGUAAUACGUAGGGGGCAAGCGUUAUCCGGAUUUACUGGGUGUAAAGGGAGCGUAGACGGCGACGCAAGUCUGGAGUGAAAGCCCGGGGCCCAACCCCGGGACUGCUUUGGAAACUGUGCUGCUGGAGUGCAGGAGAGGUAAGUGGAAUUCCUAGUGUAGCGGUGAAAUGCGUAGAUAUUAGGAGGAACACCAGUGGCGAAGGCGGCUUACUGGACUGUAACUGACGUUGAGGCUCGAAAGCGUGGGGAGCAAACAGG
rnacentral:rRNA from 1 species